UGGGGAAUAUUGGACAAUGGGCGAAAGCCUGAUCCAGCCAUGCCGCGUGUGUGAAGAAGGUCUUCGGAUUGUAAAGCACUUUAAGUUGGGAGGAAGGGCAGUAAGCGAAUACCUUGCUGUUUUGACGUUACCGACAGAAUAAGCACCGGCUAACUCUGUGCCAGCAGCCGCGGUAAUACAGAGGGUGCAAGCGUUAAUCGGAAUUACUGGGCGUAAAGCGCGCGUAGGUGGUUCGUUAAGUUGAAUGUGAAAGCCCCGGGCUCAACCUGGGAACUGCAUCCAGAACUGGCGAGCUAGAGUAGGGCAGAGGGUGGUGGAAUUUCCUGUGUAGCGGUGAAAUGCGUAGAUAUAGGAAGGAACACCAGUGGCGAAGGCGACCACCUGGGCGCAUACUGACACUGAGGGGCGAAAGCGUGGGGAGCAAACAGG
rnacentral:rRNA from 1 species